AACGAGGCCGACCUGCGGCUGAGUUACCUGCUGAGGGAUCAUUACAAGUGACCCCGGUCUAACCACCGGGAUGUUCAUAACCCUUUGUUGUCCGACUCUGUUGCCUCCGGGGCGACCCUGCCUUCGGGCGGGGGCUCCGGGUGGACACUUCAAACUCUUGCGUAACUUUGCAGUCUGAGUAAACUUAAUUAAUAAAUUAAAACUUUCAGCAAUGGAUCU
rnacentral:misc_RNA from 1 species